GAUGAACGCUGGCGGCGUGCCUAAUACAUGCAAGUCGAGCGAACAGACGAGGAGCUUGCUCCUCUGACGUUAGCGGCGGACGGGUGAGUAACACGUGGAUAACCUACCUAUAAGACUGGGAUAACUUCGGGAAACCGGAGCUAAUACCGGAUAAUAUAUUGAACCGCAUGGUUCAAUAGUGAAAGACGGUUUUGCUGUCACUUAUAGAUGGAUCCGCGCCGCAUUAGCUAGUUGGUAAGGUAACGGCUUACCAAGGCAACGAUGCGUAGCCGACCUGAGAGGGUGAUCGGCCACACUGGAACUGAGACACGGUCCAGACUCCUACGGGAGGCAGCAGUAGGGAAUCUUCCGCAAUGGGCGAAAGCUUGACGGAGCAACGCCGCGUGAGUGAUGAAGGUCUUCGGAUCGUAAAACUCUGUUAAUAGGGAAGAACAAAUGUGUAAGUAACUAUGCACGUCUUGACGGUACCUAAUCAGAAAGCCACGGCUAACUACGUG
rnacentral:rRNA from 1 species